rnacentral:rRNA from 1 species
CACGUAGGGGGCAAGCGUUGUCCGGAAUUAUUGGGCGUAAAGCGCGCGUAGGCGGCCCGGUAAGUCCGUUGUGAAAGUCAAAGGCUCAACCUUUGAAAGCCGAUGGAUACUGCCGGGCUGGAGUCCGGAAGAGGCGAGUGGAAUUCCUGGUGUAGCGGUGGAAUGCGCAGAUAUCAGGAGGAACACCAAUAGCGAAGGCAGCUCGCUGGGACGGUACUGACGCUGAGGCGCGAAAGCGUGGGGAGCGAACAGG